UUAACAGGAACAAAAUUCUCAUUUCCCACCAUUAACUGUUUCUUUCUCUUCAGGAGUCCUGUACUCCCCGGGAUCUGAGUAAACACAAGUUAUUUUCAGAAUGGGUUAUUAUGUACCUCUUGAGAUUGAAUUGGUUUGUCUGCUACAGCAGAUCUUACAACAACCCUUUCAGAGACAGCAGGCUGCAGAGAGAGCAGGUUACUCCCAGCUUGGGCCAAGGAUCUUAAAGUGAGCUGUUCAUCCUGAGAGAAAACUGACCAAGCAAGAAAGAUGAUCGAGAGAGAUUGAAGCUCAGGCCUUCAAACAGGAUCAGUGGAUCAAGCCACAGGAUCUUUGCUCCCUUACACUGUGUGGACUGAAAUCUAGUACUCUGCUAGCCAAGACAAAGUUGUCCUAGCAACUUUAUAAAAGAUUAAAGAAAGGGACCACUAUAUAUGGUUGCAUCAACAAAUUAUAUUGGUGUUUAUAACUCCGCCUUUUCUAUUCAGCUGUGCAAUUAUUUGAGUCCCCAUAUUUAAGUUCUGCCAAGCCGUCACACUUAACCUCUCAGAAUUCAUGGCCGAUCAGAUACGUACAAGCAAAACAGCAUGUUGAGAUGAAAUCUGUGAAUGCCAGCAUUACCACCUGCAGUGGAAUGAGUUACACUGCAGCUGAGUGAUGAUUGGAAGGUGAAUGUAUUUGUGCCUGCAGGGUAAAUACAGUACAGCUACAGCUUAUACCCUGGUUUCCAGUUAGGUGAAAGGAAAGAACUCUGUGCUGAACCAAACAUCUGUUAAGCUAGUUUGUGUGUGAGCCAAACGUGACUGCCUGUACAUCUUCACCUCAUGGAAUAACUGCUCCACAGAUCUCAAGAUGUACCACAUCCUCAGCUCCAACCUCCAAAGGUAAGAGAAGGAUACGACAGAACUCACCUCAGCUGCAUGCCUUUGAAAAGGUAUAUACAGAAUUCAAUUAAUUACAGAGAUUAUAGUAAAUAUGAAACUCUCUACUGCAUCACUCUCAGAAAGCCACCCUAAGGGGGAGGCUUCCACUUUUGAAACAACAGAAGAUUUGAAGAUACCAAUAUUUGCCCAUAUUUCCUGACCAGCUCCAGCCACUGCAAGAGAUAGCUGUUGAAAGAAGCUAAGUCUGAACUGAGCUAGUCAGGAAUCUAUCAAAUGCUGAUUUGUGAGAGUUGAAAUGAAGAACAAUCACUGUAAUAAUAACCUAUUCAUCACUAAGUAGUGUUGGUCAGGUAUAAUGAUCUUACCAAUAUGAUGUUUAUUCUAGUAUACCGCAAACAUUUUAUACCGAAGCAUCAGAGCAAACAGUUUUGCUAAGUAGAUUUUAUACAUUUAUAAGCCUAUUACACAUAAAUAUUUCCCUAGCAAGCUUUUGUUCUUUUUUUUUAUCAUUUCAUGUUGAGGGUACAGUGCUAGCACCACACAUCCAAUAAAGCACGUAUUUCAGUUGAGCUGUGACUUCAUUUUUAGUGUUAGUUCUUAUUAUAGCAUACCUCUUUUAACAAAGAUGCCAGUAAGUCCAGAAAGUUCUCCUGAUUAUUAUGAACAAUUAAACACAUUGCUACAUACAAUUCAAAAAUCAUGAUUUUAUUUUCAUCUGCUAGAACGUAACUGUUAUUAAAUUGGCCAGAUAUUUCCUUGGCCAGUCAUCUGCUUAGAAAAUCCAUUUCUCCUUAUUUUUUUAAAUCAGGUUCCCUUUUCCUGAAAUA